GAGUGAGCGGCAAGAGCUCAAAUUUGAAAGCUGGCCCCUUCGGGGUCCGCGUUGUAAUUUGCAGAGGAUGCUUCGGGUGCAGCCCCCGUCUAAGUGCCCUGGAACGGGCCGUCAUAGAGGGUGAGAAUCCCGUCUGGGACGGGGUGUCUGCGUCCGUGUGAAGCUCCUUCGACGAGUCGAGUUGUUUGGGAAUGCAGCUCUAAAUGGGUGGUAAAUUUCAUCUAAAGCUAAAUACUGGCCGGAGACCGAUAGCGCACAAGUAGAGUGAUCGAAAGAUGAAAAGCACUUUGAAAAGAGAGUUAAACAGCACGUGAAAUUGUUGAAAGGGAAGCGUUUGCGACCAGACUCGCCCGCGGGGUUCAGCCGGCAUUCGUGCCGGUGUACUUCCCCGUGGGCGGGCCAGCGUCGGUUUGGGCGGCCGGUCAAAGGCCCUCGGAAUGUAUCACCUCUCGGGGUGUCUUAUAGCCGAGGGUGCAAUGCGGCCUGCCUGGACCGAGGAACGCGCUUCGGCUCGGACGCUGGCGUAAUGGUCGUAAAUGACCCGUCUUGAA
rnacentral:rRNA from 1 species